rnacentral:rRNA from 1 species
UACAGAGGGUGCGAGCGUUGUUCGGAAUUACUGGGCGUAAAGCGCGCGCAGGCGGCCUUUUAAGUCUACCCGUGAAAUGCCGGAGCUCAACUCCGUGCACGCCGGGGGAUACUGGAGGGCUGGAGACAGGUAGAGGCAGGCGGAAUUCCGGGUGUAGCGGUGGAAUGCGUAGAGAUCCGGAAGAACACCAGAGGCGAAGGCGGCCUGCUGGGCCUUGUCUGACGCUGAGGCGCGAAAGCGUGGGGAGCGAACAGGAUUAGAAACCCCCGUAGUCC